rnacentral:lncRNA from 10 species
CGCAGCGGCGCGCAGGAUAGGCCCAGGCUGGUUUCCAGGCUGCGUACGGAAACGAAUCCCCGGGGCUCUUUGACUGGGGGCGAGUCUUCGAAGUCGCCAGGCUCUGCCUAUCAACCGGGUCCUGAUUGGUGCAGGCUGUGGCGGUCCGCCCCUGACUCCGUCUAGCCCCGCUCCGCGAGAAGAGGCUGAACUGCCCCAUCUGCUUCUAAUUUCUUUCUUUCUUUCUUUCUUUCUUUUUUUCCCCUCUUUUCCUUUUCUUCUUUUAAAUAUACGUUUGGAAAUUUGCCGGGCGUGGUGGCGGGCGCCUGUAAUCCCAGCUACUCGGGAGGCUGAGGCAGGAGAAUCGCUUGAAUCCGGGAGACGGAGGUUGCAGUGAGCCGAGAACGCGCCACUACACUCCAGCCUGGACGACGAGAGUGAUACUCCGUCUCAGUCAAUCAAUCAAUCAAUCAAUCGUUUGAUUUUCGUUUUAUGCUUUUACUUCCAAAUUUAUAUUUAUUGCAAAAAAUGUGGAAUAUAACAAAGUGUAAAGGCCUUCUGUCUUGAGCUCGUAUUACUGCUGUUCACUGAUGUAUUGUAAAAGCGUAAAACCGGACGUGACCCAAAUGUCUAUCAAAGGAGACUGAUGAGAGAAAUAAACGGAUUUGUUCACACAACGGCUUCUACAGCAAAGAAACAGAAGGUAGCUCCAAGUGCUCUGAAAUGGAAAGAAAUGGGGUUUGGUCAUGUUACCCAGGCUGGUCUCAAGCUCCUGGGAUCAAGUGAUCCGUCCGCCUUUGCCUCCCAAAGUGCUGGGAUUACAGCGGGGAGCCACUGCGCCCAGCCCAGCCAGCCCGAUUCUGACCCAGAGGGUUUAGAAGUUGCUUAGACAGAUCUGCUCCUGCUAGUCAAGUGAAGCAGUGGGAGGCGGAGGACAAAAAGAAUUUUGACUAAGGCAAUAAAUAUAUUAUACAAGUGAAGUAUUUCCCAAACUGUAUUCUGUGGAAUGCUGUGUUCUCAAAUGUUAACAAGUUCCAUACAAGAACCAUUUAUUUCUAAAUUCUAAAGUCACAUUCAUAUUAUGAAUUAUAUUAAACAUAUAUAGUUACUUUUAUUAUACCUAAUAAUCUGUCUUUAUAAAAGUGUUUACCCAAAAAUGCCAGCAGAUUCCAUGAGAAACUACCUGUACUACAAUGAUCGUCAAACUUUGGUGCAUACAUGACAGAAUCAACCGGAGGGCUUGUUAAAGGAUUGCUGAGUCAAACCCCUCGUUUCAGCAGGUUUGUGGUGGGGCCUGAGAAUUUACAUUUCUUUUUUUUUUUUUUUUAGACGGAGUCUUGCUCUGUUGCCCAGACUGGAGUGCAGUGGUGCGAUCUUGGCUCACUGCAACCUCCGCCUCCCGGUUCAAGCGAUUCUUCUGCCUCAGCCUCCCGAGUAGCUGGGACUACAGGUGCCCGCCACCAUGCUCAGCUAAUUUUUGGAUUUUUAGUAGAGACGGGGUUUUACCAUAUUGGCCAGGCUGGUCUCGAACUCCUGACCUUGUGACCCACCCACCUCGGCCUCCCAAAUUGCUGGGAUUACAGGCAAGAGCCACCGCGCCCUGCCGAGAAUUUGCAUUUCUAACAAGUUCCCAGGUGAUGCUGACACUGCUGGCUCAUGGAACCACUGCUGUAGUAUUUUCCAAAUUAUCCUGAUUCUAAGAACCACCUAUGACCUGUGCUGUUUUUUCAGUGGUUACUGGCUCAUGUCACAUAAAUUCUUUUAGGAUUCAAACAUGUUUGUGAUAUUACUCAGUAUUUACAUCUUGCUUUUACUGCAGCAUGAUAGAAAAAUUAACCACAGGUAUAUCAUAACAAAAAGACCAUGAGUUACCAUUUUCACAAAGUUCAGAUAUAUUUAAAUUAGCCUAUUUAAUCUUUUUUUGGUUGUUGUUGAGAUGGAGUCUCACUCUGUCUCUCAGGCUGGAGUACAGUGGCACAAUCUCAGCUCACUGCAACCUCUGCCUCCCAGGUUCAAGUAAUUCUCCUGCCUCAGCCUCCCGAGUAGCGGGGAUUACAGGUGCCCAACACCACACAUGGCUAAUUUUUGUAUUUUUAGUAGAGAUGGGGUUUUGCCAUGUUAGCCAGGCUGGUCUUGAACUCCUGACCUCAGAUGAUCCGCCUGCCUCGGCCUCUCAAAGUGCUGGGAUUACAGGCAUGAGCCAUCGCACCCAGCCUAUGGUACACCUUUACUGAGGAAACAAUUCAGGAACAUCACUCUUAGUAAGGCAAUUGUUGAUUAUAAGUCAAAAAAACACCAUCAUGUACAAAUUCAGGGGAUUUUGUAUACCUUGUUUUUUUGGUUACAAAUAUGCAAAAUUAAAGAUGUUUGCUAAUACUUGUUUCCAAUUUUUAAACUUUUCAAGUGUUGCACUGUUAAUAAUGUUAAAAUAAAAGGCAUUUGACUUAGUAUGAUUGUUUCUUGAACUUCAUCUUUUCAGGUUAUUUUGUUGCUGGCCACUUGCAAGAUUUAUAGGCACUACUGAGGCCUCAGUGCUGAGAUUCAGCAACAUUAUAAUCAUUAUAAUUCAAAGUUUAGUUUUUUGUUUUUUGUUUUUUUUUUUAAAGAGAUGGGGUCAAAAUGCUGCCCAGGCAUGUCUGGAACUCCUGGGCUCAAGCAAUCGUCUUGCCUCAGACUGCCAAGUAGCUGAACUGUAGGCACAUACCACACCUGGCUGUGUUCAGUUUCAUGGGCAAGUCAAACUAUCUAGUGUUUUGUCUGUACAGACAAGGUCAAUGCGACUUCUCCAAGCUUUUAUCACUCAAUGGUCCUACAGGCCCUUGUGAGAUAGAUAGGGUCUUAGAACAAAUAACUCAUUACAAUCCUGGGCAAAUACUCUACUGAACUGGUGAACUGAAAAUGUUUUGCUAAUGGCCCAAAUGUCACCUCAAAUUUUUUUGCCUAGAGGAGUUACACAACUAGUUUGUAUAAUAAUUUAGUUAUACUAGGCCCUCAAGUCUAAUUUGAAACAAAAUACUUGGCAAAGCAAAAUAUAACCUAAGAAAUAAUUCUGAUUUUCUGCUAAUAACAGACUUGGUUUAGUAGUCAAAAAACCUGGACACAAGUCUCACUGCCAAGGUGCUGAGUGACUGUAUAAAUCACAUGAUUUCUAAUUCCAGUUCUCUCAAUCUACAAAAUUAGAACAAGGAUGACUAGCUCAUAUUAAGUAUCCUCUAAACCAUUUUAAAAAUGCAAAAUGCUGUUUUAACUGAUGGUACUUUCAAUUGUAUCUUUUUUUUUUUUUUUUUUGAGACAGAGUCUCAUUCUGUCACCCAGACUGGAGUGCAGUGGCACAGUCUCGGCUCACUGCAACCUACACCUCCCAGGUUCAAGUGGUUUUCCUGCCUCAGCCUCCUGAGUAGCUGGGACUACAGGUGCGUGCCACCACACCUGGCUAAUUUUUGUAUUUUUAAUAGAGAUGGGGUUUUACUGUUGUCCAGGCUGGUCUUGAACUCCUGACCUCAGGUGAUCCACCCACCUUGGCCUUCCAAAGUGCUGGGAUUACAGGCAUGAGCCACCGCACCUGGCCUAAUUGUAUCUUUUGAAGCAAUGACUCCUUCGGAUCUCCAGGAUCCUCCUGAUCUUUAUGCUUCAGAUUGGGAUUUAUCCUUCAGGAAGCUUUCUCUGAACACCUCUAAUUAGACGGGGAGGGGUACUUUGUCUGUGUCACACCUAUCCCCCCAACUCGUGUUGUUUCAUAGCACUUAUCACACUGUGCAUUGUCUGUGGGUUCCUGGAUGCAGGGACGCCUCUAAUCCAUUUUAGCAGUCCAUUGGUGUCUGUCUAUCUCUUCCAGAUAGAAGAAGGCAUCAAACACAGUUCACUGAUGACAAUUUAUUAUAAUCUGUUAGUA